rnacentral:rRNA from 1 species
GUGGGGAAUCUUGCGCAAUGGGCGAAAGCCUGACGCAGCCAUGCCGCGUGAAUGAUGAAGGUCUUAGGAUUGUAAAAUUCUUUCACCGGGGACGAUAAUGACGGUACCCGGAGAAGAAGCUCCGGCUAACUUCGUGCCAGCAGCCGCGGUAAUACGAAGGGGGCUAGCGUUGCUCGGAAUUACUGGGCGUAAAGGGCGCGUAGGCGGACAGCUUAGUCAGAGGUGAAAGCCCAGGGCUCAACAUUGGAAUUGCCUUUGAUACUGGCUGUCUUGAGUUUGGGAGAGGUGAGUGGAACUCCGAGUGUAGAGGUGAAAUUCGUAGAUAUUCGGAAGAACACCAGUGGCGAAGGCGACUCACUGGCCCAAUACUGACGCUGAGGCGCGAAAGCGUGGGGAGCAAACAGGAUUAGAAACCCUAGUAGUCC